GUAAUGGUGUCUUUAGACACCACCUUUUAUUAUUUAAAAUUAUUU
rfam:Picea glauca, whole genome shotgun sequence.